rnacentral:rRNA from 1 species
UGGGGAAUCUUCCGCAAUGGACGAAAGUCUGACGGAGCAACGCCGCGUGAGUGAUGACGGUCUUCGGACUGUAAAGCUCUGUUAAUCGGGACGAAUGGUUUGUGUGCAAAUAGUGCAUAGACAUGACGGUACCGGAAUAGAAAGCCACGGCUAACUACGUGCCAGCAGCCGCGGUAAUACGUAGGUGGCAAGCGUUGUCCGGAAUUAUUGGGCGUAAAGCGCGCGCAGGCGGACUAGCCAGUCAGUCUUAAAAGUUCGGGGCUUAACCCCGUGAUGGGAUUGAAACUACUAGUCUAGAGUAUCGGAGAGGAAAGUGGAAUUCCUAGUGUAGCGGUGAAAUGCGUAGAUAUUAGGAAGAACACCAGUGGCGAAGGCGACUUUCUGGACGAACACUGACGCUGAGGCGCGAAAGCCAGGGGAGCGAACGGG